AAACGAUAUUGGAAGCUUGCUUCCGAUAGGCGUCGACCGGCGCACGGGUGAGUAACGCGUAUCCAACCUGCCCAUCACUUGGGGAUAACCUUGCGAAAGUAAGACUAAUACCCAAUGAUAUCUCUAGAAGACAUCUGAAGGAGAUUAAAGAUUUAUCGGUGAUGGAUGGGGAUGCGUCUGAUUAGCUUGUUGGCGGGGUAACGGCCCACCAAAGCGACGAUGGAUAGGGGUUCUGAGAGGAAGGUCCCCCACAUUGGAACUGAGACACGGUCCAAACUCC
rnacentral:rRNA from 1 species